UACGUAGGGGGCUAGCGUUGUCCGGAAUCAUUGGGCGUAAAGCGCGUGUAGGCGGUCCGGUAAGUCCGCUGUGAAAGUCGAGGGCUCAACCUCGAAUGCCGGUGGAUACUGUCGGGCUUGAGUACGGAAGAGGCGAGUGGAAUUCCUGGUGUAGCGGUGAAAUGCGCAGGUAUCAGGAGGAACACCAAUUGCGAAGGCAGCUCGCUGGGACGUUACUGACGCUGAGACGCGAAAGCGUGGGGAGCAAACAGG
rnacentral:rRNA from 1 species